rnacentral:misc_RNA from 1 species
AAAGGUUACAAGAAAUUAUACAUAAAACACAUUAUAAUGAACUAAUGGUCACCUAAAUGACUAGAUAAGUAACUACUGUCUAUAGAUGAUUAAUUAACAACAGAAUCAUACUGUUUUCUCUCUUCUUGUAUAGACUGAAAAAUCCGAGCAGCAGAUUCUGUGGCAGACCUUGCAUUACGCGGUACGACUUUGAUGACUCGAGCAUGAUGACUAGGCAGUUGAGGUUGGGAGCUUAUAUCCAGGUUCUUGGUAGCUGGUGAAGUUGGGAAUAGAGGAAGAACGUUUCUUCGUUCUGUGGCGUUGUCCACAGUUAUUUUGUUAGCUGUUCCACUUGGACUGCUUGCAGUGCUGGCCUGCAUUUCAGCAUCUCUACAGGAACGAGAUUUCACCUCUGGGAAAG